rnacentral:rRNA from 1 species
AGUGAACGCUGGCGGUAGGCCCAACACAUGUAAGUCGAACGGCAGCACAGUAAGAGCUUGCUCUUACGGGUGGCGAGUGGCGGACGGGUGAGGAAUACAUCGGAAUCUACUUUUUCGUGGGGGAUAACGUAGGGAAACUUACGCUAAUACCGCAUACGACCUACGGGUGAAAGCAGGGGAUCUUCGGACCUUGCGCGAUUGAAUGAGCCGAUGUCGGAUUAGCUAGUUGGCGGGGUAAAGGCCCACCAAGGCGACGAUCCGUAGCUGGUCUGAGAGGAUGAUCAGCCACACUGGAACUGAGACACGGUCCAGACUCCUACGGGAGGCAGCAGUGGGGAAUAUUGGACAAUGGGCGCAAGCCUGAUCCAGCCAUACCGCGUGGGUGAAGAAGGCCUUCGGGUUGUAAAGCCCUUUUGUUGGGAAAGAAAAGCAGCAGGUUAAUACCCCGCUGUUCUGACGGUACCCAAAGAAUAAGCACCGGCUAACUUCGUG